UACGGAGGGUGCAAGCGUUAUCCGGAUUUACUGGGUUUAAAGGGUGCGCAGGCGGAUAUGUAAGUCAGUGGUGAAAUCUCCGGGCUUAACCCGGAAACUGCCGUUGAUACUAUAUAUCUUGAAUGCUGUGGAGGUAAGCAGAAUAUGUCAUGUAGCGGUGAAAUGCUUAGAGAUGACAUAGAAUACCUAUUGCGAAGGCAGCUUACUACGCAGAUAUUGACGCUCAUGCGCGAAAGCGUGGGGAGCAAACAGG
rnacentral:rRNA from 1 species